AAAUUGAAGAGUUUGAUCAUGGCUCAGAUUGAACGCUGGCGGCAGGCCUAACACAUGCAAGUCGAACGGUAACAGGAAGCAGCUUGCUGUUUCGCUGACGAGUGGCGGACGGGUGAGUAAUGUCUGGGAAACUGCCUGAUGGAGGGGGAUAACUACUGGAAACGGUAGCUAAUACCGCAUAACGUCGCAAGACCAAAGAGGGGGACCUUUGGGCCUCUUGCCAUCGGAUGUGCCCAGAUGGGAUUAGCUAGUAGGUGGGGUAACGGCUCACC
rnacentral:rRNA from 1 species